rnacentral:rRNA from 1 species
AGCAGCCGCGGUAAUUCCAGCUCCAAUAGCGUAUAUUAAAGUUGUUGCAGUUAAAAAGCUCGUAGUUGAAUUUCGGGAUCAAUUAAUUGGUCGUGCCUCUGGUACGUACUGAUUUUAUUGGUUUCUCCCUUCUGACGAACCAUGAUGUCAUUAAUUUGGUGUCGUGGAGAAUCAGGACUGUUACUUUGAAAAAAUUAGAGUGUUUAAAGCAAGCUAACGCUUGAAUACAUUAGCAUGGAAUAAUGAAAUAGGACGUUUGAUCCUAUUUUGUUGGUUUCUAGGAUCGACGUAAUGAUUAAUAGGGAUAGUUGGGGGCAUUAGUAUUCAAUUGUCAGAGGUGAAAUUCUUGGAUUUAUUGAAGACUAACUACUGCGAAAGCAUUUGCCAAGGAUGUUUUCAUUAAUCAAGAACGAAAGUUAGGGGAUCGAAGACGAUCAGAUACCGUCGUAG